CGAGCGAGCUAGCAAGCGGCCAGAGCGCCCCGCGUAGGAGAGCAGCCCGCACGUAUCCAGGCCCCGCCCCCUGGCCGGCCUACUUACAGCAUUGGCCAGCCCGCUUGUCAUUCCCACCGUGGCUCCCAUUCAUGCAGUUUGGUUGCGUCCUGGUGUAUUUGAGUGUUUGCAAUAAAAAGGGCUUUUAAUUUUUGGAGGUGCAAGUCCGGCUGCAAUUAGUUCUCGGCAAAGUCUCCUGCCCUGUAAACAGCCGAUCGCGGCGAGCUUUAGCUCUCGCUUUCUCCCUUGCAAUUGCGAGCCACUCAUUCCGAGGUGCAACUAUGCCCAAAAGAAAGCCCCAGCCGCCUGCUGCAGAGUCCUAUGGGGUUCACUUCAUGGGAGUCAUCCUUGAGCCGAAGCUGACAACAACCUGGUUGUUGCAGGCAGCCGUUGAAGGGCAGGUAAAGGAGGAGCCAAAGAGACGGUCACCCAGACUAUCUGCUAAGCCUGUUCCUCCCAAAUCUGAGCCCAAAACCAAAAAGGCAGCAGCCCCAAAGAAAAUGAACGUAGCAAAUGAUAAAAAGGAAAUCAAAGGCAAGAAGGGGGCAGCCAAAGUCAAAGUUGAGACCAAGCAGGAGGAAGUUAAAGAAGAAAACCACUCUGAAAAUGGAGAAACCCAAACCAAUGAGGUACCUUUCGAUGUGCCAGUGGUGGAAGAACCUGAGGAGAAAGCAACCAAGUCUGAGUAAAAGUUAACACUGCCCUAUAUCUCCAUCAGUUUG
rnacentral:lncRNA from 1 species